ACUCCAUCUUUGGACAGCUCUAAGCAAUCGUGCAGAACUUCUAUGGCUCCUGCCUUGUGUAGAACCACAACUGGAAGACAUGCUGAGCUUCAGCAAAGAAUAAUGAAAAACAAAGAAAAACUGAAGGACAAGAUGCAGCAUGCUCGGGAAGUCAGCUAAAUGCUUUUCAUUCAGGCAGGAAUAGAAGGAGCCUCACCUACCUAGAAGAAUACAGCAUAAGGACAAAUGGUGUCUAGUAUAGAGCUAGACUAUACUUUAUCACUUUAGAACAAAGCCAUC
rnacentral:lncRNA from 10 species